rnacentral:rRNA from 1 species
UGAGCAAUCUGCCCUUCUCAUCGGAAUAAGCGUUGGAACGACGUCUAAUGCCGAAUACGACCUCCUUUCGCAUGAUCGGAGGUGAAAAGCUCCGGCGGAGAAGGACGAGCUCGCGGCCUAUCAGCUAGUUGGUGUGGGUAAUGGCUCACCAAGGCGACGACGGGUAGCCGGCCUGAGAGGGUGACCGGCCACACUGGGACUGAGAUACGGCCCAGACUCCUACGGGAGCAG